CUUGUCUCAAAGAUUAAGCCAUGCAUGUCUAAGUAUAAGCAACUAUACGGUGAAACUGCGAAUGGCUCAUUAAAUCAGUUAUCGUUUAUUUGAUAGUACCUUACUACUUGGAUAACCGUGGUAAUUCUAGAGCUAAUACAUGCUAAAAACCCCGACUUCGGAAGGGGUGUAUUUAUUAGAUAAAAAACCAAUGCUCUUCGGGGCUCCUUGGUGAUUCAUAAUAACUUAACGAAUCGCAUGGCCUUGCGCCGGCGAUGGUUCAUUCAAAUUUCUGCCCUAUCAACUUUCGAUGGUAGGAUAGUGGCCUACCAUGGUAUCAACGGGUAACGGGGAAUUAGGGUUCUAUUCCGGAGAGGGAGCCUGAGAAACGGCUACCACAUCCAAGGAAGGCAGCAGGCGCGCAAAUUACCCAAUCCCGACACGGGGAGGUAGUGACAAUAAAUACUGAUACAGGGCUCUUUUGGGUCUUGUAAUUGGAAUGAGUACAAUUUAAAUCCCUUAACGAGGAACAAUUGGAGGGCAAGUCUGGUGCCAGCAGCCGCGGUAAUUCCAGCUCCAAUAGCGUAUAUUAAAGUUGUUGCAGUUAAAAAGCUCGUAGUUGAACCUUGGGCCUGGCUGGCCGGUCCGCCUCACCGCGUGUACUGGUCCGGCCGGGCCUUUCCUUCUGGGGAGCCGCAUGCCCUUCACUGGGCGUGUUGGGGAACCAGGACUUUUACUUUGAAAAAAUUAGAGUGUUCAAAGCAGGCCUUUGCUCGAAUACAUUAGCAUGGAAUAAUAGAAUAGGACGU
rnacentral:rRNA from 1 species